GCUGACGUCAACGUCAUCGGAGCAGCAGACUAUCGGAACAGCAGAGUAGCGGAGAAGCCGAGCAGCAGCCUCGGUGUCAAUCAGUCCACCUUUACCAAGGAACAGCCACAGCAUUUAUGCGUUGCCAAUCGGCCAAUUAUAACCUAGCAUUGAAGCAGGAAAAAGUG